rnacentral:rRNA from 1 species
GACGUAGGUGGCGAACGUUAUCCGGAAUUAUUGGGCGUAAAGGGUGCGUAGGUGGCCUGGCAAGUUAUUCGUGGUAAAUCGAGGCUCAACCUCGUGGAAACUAGUAAUACUGUCCGGCUUGAGUGCAGGAGAGGUUAACGGAACUCUAUGUGGAGGGGUAAAAUCCAUAGAUAUAUAGAUGAACAUCAAUAACGGCGAAGGCAGUUAACUAUUCUGUUACUGACACUGAGGCACGAAAGCGUGGGGAGCAAACGGG